rnacentral:rRNA from 1 species
UACAGAGGGUGCAAGCGUUGUUCGGAAUUAUUGGGCGUAAAGCGCGUGUAGGCGGCUUUGCAAGUCGGGUGUGAAAGCCCUCAGCUCAACUGAGGAAGUGCGCCCGAAACUGCAGAGCUUGAGUACCGGAGAGGGUGGCGGAAUUCCCCAAGUAGAGGUGAAAUUCGUAGAUAUGGGGAGGAACACCGGUGGCGAAGGUGGCCACCUGGACGGUCACUGACGCUGAGACGCGAAAGCGUGGGGAGCAAACAGG